GGAGUUGUGUAAAAGGGGCUGAAGUCCUGCGCUGCGUCCUCCACUGCUGCUGCUGCUGUUGAAAAGUAGGCUCACCACCAGAUAUAUAAAUGCUGCCAAACCGUUUGAUAUCGUGGACGUAAAACAAACAAUCAGGCAACGACACACCCCGGUGAGGGUCCAGGACUCCGGCCGAGUGGUGGGCGAGGCAGCUUGAACUCCUCUGGACCGUUCAGACGCGUUGGCCGCGCAGGAGCGACCCGGCCGGUGGUCAAGGAAUGACUGCACCUAAAGCAAACGAAAGGAAGAAGUAGGAGGAGGAGUCACCAUUUGUGCCUUUAAAGUGGGGGCUGUCCUUCACUCCAGGCUGUCUGGUUCGAACUCUCACGCUCGCUGGCUGACUCCCAGCACUCUCUCACCCUUGGACCCCAGAUGGCUGACACACAGCAGUUCUUCACUGGCAAGCUUUAUGUUCCUGUACACAUGCUAAAGCUGCCAGCUGAAGAACUGCUCUGGUCAGCCCUGCCCCGGAUGACUCUAGAAGAGGAAGGGGGUGGGGGUGGGGUUGGAAGAGGACUGAGGAAGGCGGUGUUUCACACGCUCGGUAGUCGGCCUGGACUUCUGCAAGAUUUGAGCCACCGUUGUUUAUAUUCUGUUGUUAAUCACAUGUAAGGUAUAUUUCAAUGUAAGCAUGUUUAUUUCCUCACAAAAAAUACUUAAAUGUUGUCUGUGAUGCGUCUUUUCUUUCUUCUUACAAUAAAGAACAAAAUAGUU